UACGGGGGGGGCGAGCGUUGUUCGGAAUUACUGGGCGUAAAGGGCUCGUAGGUGGCCAACUAAGUCGGACGUGAAAUCCCUCGGCUUAACCGGGGAACUGCGUCCGAUACUGGUUGGCUUGAGUUUGGGAGAGGGAUGCGGAAUUCCAGGUGUAGCGGUGAAAUUCGUAGAUAUUCGCAAGAACACCAGUGGCGAAGGCGGCUCACUGGCCCGGAACUGACGCUGAGGUGCGAAAGCGUGGGGAGCAAACAGG
rnacentral:rRNA from 1 species